rnacentral:rRNA from 1 species
UACGUAGGGUGCGAGCGUUGUCCGGAAUUAUUGGGCGUAAAGAGCUCGUAGGCGGUUCGUCGCGUCGGCUGUGAAAUCCCGAGGCUCAACCUCGGGUCUGCAGUCGAUACGGGCGGACUGGAGUUCGGUAGGGGAGACUGGAAUUCCUGGUGUAGCGGUGAAAUGCGCAGAUAUCAGGAGGAACACCGGUGGCGAAGGCGGGUCUCUGGGCCGAUACUGACGCUGAGGAGCGAAAGCGUGGGGAGCGAACAGG